rnacentral:lncRNA from 1 species
GGGCCACCCAAGGCCACUGAAUUUCUCUCUUGCAACUGAACUGACCGGAGUUCACUCCCUGGUUGGGAGCCCCUCCAGGGAAGAGAGAGACAUGGGGCCUUGGACCCACAGCUCAGUAACUAUGGGAAUUUAAAGGAAAGACGAACAUCAGAGGGGCUGGAAGUAGAAAAUGCUCUGGGAGUCCGCAGAGCAAGAGAUCACCCUCAGUGGACAGUUCAGGACCUGAUUCACAAAACAGGCCACGAUCAAGAUUUUCCCAGAAGCUACCCAUGAACCAGAGCACCCAGGACCAACAAAACGCCCAGUGAGCUUAGACAAGAUGGAGGCUUUUUCCCUACAAGGACCUGCUAGGUGACACCCUGGAAAACAAUUGUCCUCGACUAAAAGGAAAAUUUGAAAACAUAUUACACUAACAUUACAUUAUCAUUUCAGACAAGGGAAAGGAUAAAAAGAACUGAGGACUGUGAACUGGGUGGCAGGUACUCAUAUAUCCAACCUCAUUUCCUGUGCUGUCUGUUCUCACAGUUCACAGCGUGUGGUUGGCAUUCGUUUCACAGGUGAGGAAACUGAGGCUUACAGAGGAACAUGGCCCCAGGCCAGUCAGUAAAGAGCAAAGCAGACCCAGGCUUGGACCUCAGCUCAACCAUGGAAUCCCUGCUGGGUCUCGGGCA